rnacentral:rRNA from 1 species
UACGGGGGGGGCAAGCGUUGUUCGGAAUUACUGGGCGUAAAGGGCUCGUAGGCGGCCAACUAAGUCAGACGUGAAAUCCCUCGGCUUAACCGGGGAACUGCGUCUGAUACUGGAUGGCUUGAGUUUGGGAGAGGGAUGCGGAAUUCCAGGUGUAGCGGUGAAAUGCGUAGAUAUCUGGAGGAACACCGGUGGCGAAGGCGGCAUCCUGGACCAACACUGACGCUGAGUGAGCGAAAGCCAGGGGGGCAAACGGG